rnacentral:rRNA from 1 species
AACGAACGCUGGCGGCAUGCCUAACACAUGCAAGUCGAACGAGACCUGCGGGUCUAGUGGCGCACGGGUGCGUAACGCGUGGGAACCUGCCCUUAGGUUCGGAAUAACUCCCCGAAAGAGGUGCUAAUACCGGCUAAUGUCUCCGGACCAAAGAUUGAUCGCCUUUGGAUGGGCCCGCGUUGGAUUAGCUAGUUGGUAGGGUAAAAGCCUACCAAGGGUACGUUCGAUAGCUGGUCUGAGAGGAUGAUCAGCCACACUGGGACUGAGACACGGCCCAGACUCCUACGGGAGGCAGCAGUGGGGAAUAUUGGAAAAUGGGCGAAAGCCUGAUCCAGCAAUGCCGCGUGAGUGAUGAAGGCCUUAGGGUUGUAAAGCUCUUUUACCCGGGAUGAUAAUGACAUUACCGGGAGAAUAAGCUCCGGCUAACUCCGUG